CCUACGGGUGGCAGCAGUGAGGAAUAUUGGUCAAUGGGCGGGAGCCUGAACCAGCCAAGUCGCGUGAGGGAAGACGGUCCUAUGGAUUGUAAACCUCUUUAGGCGGGGAGCAAUGCCGGGCACGCGUGCCCGGAGGGAGAGUACCCGCAGAAUAAGCAUCGGCUAACUCCGUGCCAGCAGCCGCGGUAAUACGGAGGAUGCGAGCGUUAUCCGGAUUUAUGGGGUUUAAGGGGUGCGUAGGCGGAUUUUUAAGUCAGCGGUAAAAUGUCCGGGCUCAACCCGGGCGGGCCGUUGAAACUGGGGAUCUUGAGUGGGCGAGAAGUAUGCGUAAUGCGUGGUGUAGCGGUGAAAUGCAUAGAUAUCACGCAGAACUCCGAUUGCGAGGGCAGCAUACCGGCGCCCGACUGACGCUGAGGCACGAAAGCGUGGGGAUCGAACAGGAUUAGAUACCCGAGUAGUG
rnacentral:rRNA from 1 species